rnacentral:antisense_RNA from 3 species
UUCAAUGGUGAUUCAGGCGGGGGAGGCUAUGCCUCGCUGGUGUGAACCCAGUCCGCGAACCCUGUCUGAAUCGCCACCAUC